GUGGAAGUGACCGGGCUUACACCAGGAAAGAUUUACACAUUCCGACUACUUUCUAAGAAUGACUUUGGGGAUUCUGACAGAUAUGUCCUUGUAGAAACUACGACUGCAGGGGAUCCACCAACCCAGCACCGGCUCCAAGUUCCAACUUUUAGUACUGAAGUGACAGCAGUAACGGCAGGAGGCGGCAUACUCCUCACCCUGGUCAUCGUGGGAAUUGUUCUCAUGGUACUCCACAGAAUCGGGUAGAGAUUCGGAAAACAACCCAAAGGAACUGGAACAACGGAAAUAAGGAAUUCUGAAACUGUGGAAAUGGAAAACAGAGAAUAUUCAUCAUUAAAUCGACAUCAUGGCCCAGCUCGGUAUCCCAGUUUGGAAGAGGAAUCAGAAGAUCAACAAUACACACGGUUGAAGAUCUAUGCGAAUACAAAAGCAGAUGCUGCAGCAGAUGCAAGUACCUAUGAAGGCGUGACAGAGACUCCCCCUGUGACAUUUGAGUCCAACACUGCAUUGCCAUACCAGAACACUGGGGCACAUUCCCAAGGUAACCAAACCAUGAACCACUCCUGGUGAUUCUAAUCGCGUUACACCGUCAUGGAUGAACUAGGUCCUGACAAUCAAAAUAACUAAAGAUGGGUAGUUAUCGUGUCAUCAGUUUCAGUCACAGACCAAGAGACAUUUUCAGAGCAUUAUAUGUCUUUGCUCUGCUCAUAACGUCUUUAUUACUUUCAUCUUUU